rnacentral:misc_RNA from 1 species
UACGGAGGGUGCAAGCGUUGUCCGGAAUCAUUGGGUGUAAAGGGUGCGUAGGCGGGCUACUAAGUCUGGGGUGAAAUCUUGCCGCUUAACGGUAAAAUGGCCUUGGAUACUGGUAGUCUUGAGUGUAGAAGAGGCAGGUGGAAUUCGUAGUGUAGCGGUGAAAUGCAUAGAUAUUACGAAGAACAUCAGUGGCGAAGGCGGCCUGCUGGUCUACGACUGACGCUGAGGCACGAAAGCGUGGGGAGCGAACAGG